UCCCCUCCAGAUUAUCGCACAUUAAUCCCCGCCAGAUUAGCACACAUUAAUCGCUUGCAAUGAGCUUUGUGUUGGUGCAAUUGUGAACAAGUUGGUUCUUACAGUUACAUGUGGUGGCAUUGCCCAAAGGCCCAUUUAAUCUAAUUUUUGCAGUCCUUCUGUUUAAUUUCUCUCUUUGCAACGGUACUGCAUAUCUACCCUUAAUUUGUGGCCAUGCUUAUUU